UACGUAGGUGACUAGCGUUGUCCGGAUUUACUGGGCGUAAAGAGCGCGCAGGCGGUCGUUCAAGUCGAGUGUGAAAGCCCCCGGCUCAACUGGGGAGGGUCACUCGAUACUGAUCGACUUGAAGGCAGGAGAGGGAAGCGGAAUUCCCGGUGUAGUGGUGAAAUGCGUAGAUAUCGGGAGGAACACCAGUGGCGAAGGCGGCUUCCUGGCCUGUUCCUGACGCUGAGGCGCGAAAGCUAGGGGAGCAAACGGG
rnacentral:rRNA from 1 species